rnacentral:rRNA from 1 species
CCCUUAGAUGUUCUGGGCCGCACGCGUGCUACACUGAGUGGAUCAGCGGGUCAGGUUGCGCGAAAGCGUUUCCUAAUCUUUAAAUCCGCUCGUGAUGGGGAUUGACGGUUGCAAUUUUCUGUCAUGAACGAGGAAUACCUUGUAAGCGCGGGUCAUCAUCCCGCGCUGAAUACGUCCCUGCCCUUUGUGCACACCGCCCGUCGCUCCUACCGAUUGGAUGGUCCGGUGAAGCCUCGGGAUUGUGGUUCUUGCCGCUUUAUUGUGGCGUGACCGCGAGAACUUGUCUAAACCUUAUCAUCUAGAGGAAGGUGAAGUCGUAACA